rnacentral:rRNA from 1 species
UAGCUAGUUGGUGGGGUAAAGGCCUACCAAGGCGACGAUCGGUAGCUGGUCUGAGAGGAUGGACAGCCACACUGGGACUGAGACACGGCCCAGACUCCUACGGGAGGCAGCAGUGGGGAAUAUUGGACAAUGGGGGCAACCCUGAUCCAGCAAUGCCGCGUGUGUGAAGAAGGCCUGAGGGUUGUAAAGCACUUUCAGUGGGGAGGAGGAUUUAUUGGUUAAGAGCUGAUGAAUUGGACGUUACCCACAGAAGAAGCACCGGCUAACUCCGUGCCAGCAGCCGCGGUAAUACGGAGGGUGCGAGCGUUAAUCGGAAUUACUGGGCGUAAAGGGUGCGUAGGUGGUUUAAUAAGUUAACUGUGAAAUUCCUGGGCUCAACCUGGGCAGGUCAGUUAAGACUGUUAGACUAGAGUAUAGGAGAGGGUAGUGGAAUUUCCGGUGUAGCGGUGAAAUGCGUAGAGAUCGGAAGGAACACCAGUGGCGAAGGCGUCUACCUGGCCGGAUACUGACACUGAGGCACGAAAGCGUGGGUAGCAAACAGGAUUAGAUACCCUGGUAGUCCACGCUGUAAACGAUGUCAACUAGCUGUUGGGCACAUAGAAGUGUUUAGUGGCGA